rnacentral:rRNA from 1 species
GUGGGGAAUUUUGCGCAAUGGGGGAAACCCUGACGCAGCAACGCCGCGUGAGUGAUGAAGGCCUUCGGGUCGUAAAGCUCUGUCAGAGGGGAAGAAGUGUGGGGUGGCUAAUAUCCAUUUCACUUGACGGUACCUUCAAAGGAAGCACCGGCUAACUCCGUGCCAGCAGCCGCGGUAAUACGGAGGGUGCGAGCGUUGUUCGGAAUUAUUGGGCGUAAAGCGCGUGUAGGCGGUUUUUUAAGUCUGAUGUGAAAGCCCUGGGCUCAACCCGGGAAGUGCAUUGGAAACUGGGAGACUUGAAUACGGGAGAGGGCAGUGGAAUUCCUGGUGUAGGAGUGAAAUCCGUAGAUAUCAGGAGGAACACCGGUGGCGAAGGCGGCUGCCUGGACCGAUAUUGACGCUGAGACGCGAAAGCGUGGGGAGCAAACAGGAUUAGAUACCCCAGUAGUCC